rnacentral:rRNA from 1 species
UACGUAGGGAGCAAGCGUUGUCCGGAAUCAUUGGGCGUAAAGAGCGUGUAGGCGGCCCGGUAAGUCGGUUGUGAAAGUCAAGGGCUCAACCCUUGAAAGCCGACCGAUACUGUCGGGCUAGAAUCCGGAAGAGGCGAGUGGAAUUCCUGGUGUAGCGGUGAAACGCGCAGAUAUCAGGAGGAACACCGAUGGCGAAGGCAGCUCGCUGGGACGGUAUUGACGCUGAGACGCGAAAGCGUGGGGAGCAAACAGG